rnacentral:rRNA from 1 species
CCAGACUCCUACGGGAGGCAGCAGUGAGGAAUAUUGGUCAAUGGGCGGAAGCCUGAACCAGCCAAGUCGCGUGAGGGAAGAAGGCCCUGCGGGUCGCAGACCUCUUUGGACGGGGAGCAAGGCCGCCGACGUGUCGGCGGAAGGAGAGUACCCGUAGAACAAGCAUCGGCUAACUCCGUGCCAGCAGCCGCGGUAAUACGUAGGGGGCAAGCGUUAUCCGGAUUUACUGGGUGUAAAGGGAGCGUAGACGGCAUGGCAAGUCUGAAGUGAAAGCCCGGGGCUCAACCGCGGGACUGCUUUGGAAACUGUUAAGCUGGAGUGCAGGAGAGGUAAGUGGAAUUCCUAGUGUAGCGGUGAAAUGCGUAGAUAUUAGGAGGAACACCAGUGGCGAAGGCGGCUUACUGGACUGUAACUGACGUUGAGGCUCGAAAGCGUGGGGAGCAAACAGGAUUAGAUACCCCCGUAGAA